CGUAAAGGUGCAUGAGUGGUGUUUGGUAUGUUACGGGUGGUUGGCUCUUUGCUUGCGCAACAACUUCCACCUGGCAUACCUCUUCAGUCUUGUGUCAAUGCUUGUUUUGCAUUGAAUGCAUGAUGGGUUUCUUGUGUUGCAUGCCUAAUUGAUGGUAUCAUUUGAAGAAUUAGUCUAUAUUCGUCUUGUAUUGCAUAUGCGAUGUGAGAUGAACUUCGAAGCAGCCUUUAUGUUCCACUCUUUUCAAUGAAAACGCAUUGAUAUCGUGGCCCAUUAAGUGUUGCUUGGUCUCGUGGAUAUGGAAGCUGGUGUGGGCAUGGGAUCUUUCACUAGUUCCUUGUUUGCCCUAAUUAUGCUUUUCUAAUACGAUUGUCU
rnacentral:misc_RNA from 1 species